ensembl:lncRNA
CUUGUUUUCAGUUUAUUCCACAACUCUUACGAUCUUCUGAAGAUAUCAACAAUUUAACAAAUUGUCAUUUUCCAAUAAAAACACAGUGUAACAUUUUAAAGGGAACGAGGUUUAAACUGAAACACUUAAACCAGUUUAACAUACAGAGAAACAUUUGGCUUCAAACCAGUUUGGCAGCUUAGUUUUAGGAGGAACAUUUCAACCAAAGGUACUGGAUGGAUGAAGAUCAAGCCAGGGUCCCAAAUGGCACCCUAUCCCCUAUAUAGCGCACUACUUUUGACCGGAGCCCUAUUGGUCAAAGUAAAUCCCAGUGUACACUACUUUCAGUAGUGCACUACGUAGGGAAUAGGGUGCCUUUAGGAAUGUAUGGUGAUGGAGGCCUCUCCACACACAGACAUAACGUUAAUCCACUCUCACAGACACACAGAGAGAUGGGCAGAGUACUAACGGAUUGGGACAGGAUGACUGGCAGUACUAACCGAUUGGGACAGGACAGCUGGCUGAAUACUAACAAAUUGGGACAGGACGGCUGGCAGAAUACUAACGGAUUGGGACAGGACGGCUGGCUGAAUACUAACGGAUUGGGACAGGAUGGCUGGCUGAAUACUAACGGAUUGGGACAGGAUGGCUGGCUGAAUACUCUACUAACGGAUUGGGACAGUAUGGCUGGCAGAAUACUAACGGAUUGGGACAGGACGGCUGGCUGAAUACUCUACCAACGGAUUGGGACAGGAUGGUUGGCAGAAUACUAACGGAUUGGGACAGGACGGCUGGCUGAAUAAUAACGGAUUGGGACAGGAUGGCUGGCUGAAUACUCUACUAACGGAUUGGGACAGGACGGCUGGCUGAAUACUUGACUAACGGAUUGGGACAGGAUGGCUGGCUGAAUACUUGACUAACGGAUUGGGACAGGACGGCUGGCACAAUACUAACGGAUUGGGACAGGAUGGCUGGCUGAAGACUCUACCAACGGAUUGGGACAGAAUGGCUGGCAGAAUACUAACGGAAUGGGACAGGACUGCUGGCAGAAUACUAAUGGAUUGGGACAGGACGGCUGGCUGAUAUGGACUAUGGAUUGCUAAUUUAAGGGCAUCGGUGGGAUUAAAUCUCUAAGGAAUAAGGCUGGAUAACAUGAGGCCCAGUCUGCGCUGUACGAGGGUAGCAGUUUAAAUGAUAUUACAUGUGUCACAACUCAACACUGCAGAAACAGGGUCAAAACAGUCUACCUGUAAACCUGUAUUCGGAUCAAAUACACACACACACACACACACACACACACACACACACACACACACACACACACACACACACACACACCACAUAAUGCCUUAUGCAGGAAUGCGUACAGGAUUACUUGAUGCUUUGCAAGAACAGGCCACAGGAAGGUAGAGAAUGGCUAAAUUACUCCUUCAUAUUUAAAUCCCCCCUGAUGUAGAGAAUGGCUAAAUUACUCCUUCAUAUUUAAAUCCCCCUGAUGUAGAGAAUGGCUAAAUUACUCCUUCAUAUUUAAAUCCCCCUGAUGUAGAGAAUGGCUAAAUUACUCCUUCAUAUUUAAAUCCCCCCUGAUGUAGAGAAUGGCUAAAUUACUCCUUCAUAUUUAAUAAAUCCCCCUGAUGUAGAGAAUGGCUAAAAUACUCCUUAAUAUUUAAAUCCCCCUGAUGUAGAGAAUGGCUAAAUUACUCCUUCAUAUUUAAAUCCCCCUGAUGUAGAGAAUGGCUAAAUUACUCCUUCAUAUUUAAAUCCCCCUGAUGUAGAGAAUGGCUAAAUUACUCCUUCAUAUUUAAUAAAUCCCCUGAUGUAGAGAAUGGCUAAAUUACUCCUUCAUAUUUAAAUCCCCCUGACUUAGAGAAUGGCUAAAUUACUCCUUCAUA